UACAGAGGUCCCAAGCGUUGUUCGGAUUCACUGGGCGUAAAGGGUGCGUAGGUGGCGACGUAAGUCGGGUGUGAAAGCCCCGGGCUCAACCUGGGAAUUGCAUUCGAGACUGCAUUGCUGGAGUACGGAAGAGGAGGGCGGAAUUCCCGGUGUAGCGGUGAAAUGCGUAGAUAUCGGGAGGAACAUCAGUGGCGAAGGCGGCCCUCUGGUCCAGUACUGACACUCAAGUGCGAAAGCGUGGGGAGCAAACAGG
rnacentral:rRNA from 1 species